rnacentral:misc_RNA from 1 species
GAAAUGCGAUAAGUAAUGUGAAUUGCAGAAUUCAGUGAAUCAUCGAAUCUUUGAACGCACAUUGCGCCCGCCAGUAUUCUGGCGGGCAUGCCUGUUCGAGCGUCAUUUCAACCCUCAAGCCCCCGGGCUUGGUGUUGGAGAUCGGCAACUGCCCCUUGCGGGUGCGCCGUCUCCCAAAUCUAGUGGCGGUCUCGCUGUAGCUUCCUCUGCGUAGUAAUUCACCUCGCUCUGGAACGCGGCGCGGCCACGCCGUUAAACCCCCCACUUCUGAAGGUUGACCUCGGAUCAGGUAGGACUACCCGCUGAACUUAA